rnacentral:rRNA from 1 species
UGGCGUACGGGUGAGUAACACGUGGAUGAUCUACCUCUUGGCGGGGAAUACCCCUGGGAAACCGGGGACAAUACCGCAUAAGCUCGGAAGAGGAAACCUGAAAAGGGCCGAGAGAGGAGUCCGCGGCCGAUUAGCUAGUUGGAAGGGUAAAAGCCUCCCAAGGCAAAGAUCGGUAGCCGGCCUGAGAGGGCACACGGCCACACUGGCACUGAGACACGGGCCAGACUCCUACGGGAGGCAGCAGUGGGGAAUCUUGCACAAUGGGGGAAACCCUGAUGCAGCGACGCCGCGUGAGCGAUGAAGCCCUUCGGGGUGUAAAGCUCUUUCGACGGGAACGAUAAUGACGGUACCCGGAGAAGAAGCUGCGGCUAACUACGUGCCAGCAGCCGCGGUAAUACGUAGGCAGCAAGCGUUGUUCGGAGUUACUGGGCGUAAAGAGUGCGUAGGCGGUUUACCAAGUCUGCUGUGAAAUCUCCCGGCUUAACUGGGAGGGUGCGGUGGAAACUGGUAGGCUCGAGUGUGGGAGAGGUAAGCGGAAUUCCUGGUGUAGCGGUGAAAUGCGUA